CGAGCGGGCGUAGCAAUACGUCAGCGGCAGACGGGUGAGUAACGCGUGGGAACGUACCUUUUGGUUCGGAACAACACAGGGAAACUUGUGCUAAUACCGGAUAAGCCCUUACGGGGAAAGAUUUAUCGCCGAAAGAUCGGCCCGCGUCUGAUUAGCUAGUUGGUGAGGUAAUGGCUCACCAAGGCGACGAUCAGUAGCUGGUCUGAGAGGAUGAUCAGCCACAUUGGGACUGAGACACGGCCCAAACUCCUACGGGAGGCAGCAGUGGGGAAUAUUGGACAAUGGGGGCAACCCUGAUCCAGCCAUGCCGCGUGAGUGAUGAAGGCCCUAGGGUUGUAAAGCUCUUUUGUGCGGGAAGAUAAUGACGGUACCGCAAGAAUAAGCCCCGGCUAACUUCGUGCCAGCAGCCGCGGUAAUACGAAGGGGGCUAGCGUUGCUCGGAAUCACUGGGCGUAAAGGGUGCGUAGGCGGGUCUUUAAGUCAGGGGUGAAAUCCUGGAGCUCAACUCCAGAACUGCCUUUGAUACUGAAGAUCUUGAGUUCGGGAGAGGUGAGUGGAACUGCGAGUGUAGAGGUGAAAU
rnacentral:rRNA from 1 species